AGGCAGCUACACCGGGAGCUUUAUUUGAGGAUAAACCCCAAUCUGCAAAUGAUACAUGGAGAAAACUCCACUCUGAUCCUCUACUCCUAAUAAGGCAGCGGGAGCAGGAUGCGAUUUCAAGGAUUAAAAACAAUCCAAUCAAUCAAGAUGGCCGAGAUAAAGAAAUCUGUAAGUUUAUGUUUCCUUUCUUAACGUGGAAUCUUGGCUUCUGAGUAGCGUAACUAGUGAAUAGUUGCUUUGUAAUUGACUAAUUGUUGGUUUGUCACAAACGUAUAUGAUCGAGGCAUCUACCUAACACCUUUUACUCAAAUCAUGCUUAGUAUUUCAUUUCAGUCAUGUUUUGUGUGAAGUGAUCUAUGGAGAUGUAUUGGUCGACAGGUUAAACAUGCAUAUAGAGGAGUGUGGUGAUCAGGGCGCCAUGAGAACUCAUUAUGGGCAUGAACAAGAUUUGAACAGCUACAGAACUUUAUAGCUGGGGCAACCACUGCCAUAUGAUCAAGAUCUGGGGCAACCACUGCCAUAUGAACAAGUUUUGAAGAGAGAAACAUCAAGUAAGUGCCAACAUCACAACCCCUACAAGCUUGUGCCUUAAAACAAGAGGAUACAAGAAGUUGGAGUGCUUUUGUGAAGGCUUUUGUGACUCACUUGAAGCGUUGGUACUUUUGUGAAUGAUUUUGUAAAGUGUUUGUAAAUAUGUGCAAAAUAUAAUAACAUGUGUAGGUUUUGUGAAUGAUUUUGUUGUGGUGCUUGUUGAUGGUUUAUGUGAUGUGGAUC